rnacentral:rRNA from 1 species
UACGUAGGUGGCAAGCGUUGUUCGGAAUUAUUGGGCGUAAAGGGCGCGUAGGCGGCUUGUUAAGUCGGCUGUGAAAGCCCGGGGCUCAACCCCGGAGGGUCAGCCGAUACUGGCAGGCUAGAGUACGGAAGAGGUAGCUGGAAUUCCCGGUGUAGCGGUGAAAUGCGCAGAUAUCAGGAAGAACACCCGUGGCGAAGGCGGCUCUCUGGGACGGUACUGACGCUGAGACGCGAAAGCGUGGGGAGCAAACAGG